GGUUAAGUGAAUAAGGGCGCACGGUGGAUGCCUUGGCACUAGGAGCCGAUGAAGGACGGGACUAACACCGAUAUGCUUUGGGGAGCUGUAAGUAAGCUAUGAUCCAGAGAUUUCCGAAUGGGGGAACCCAAUAUCUUUUAUAGGAUAUUACUUUUCAGUGAAUACAUAGCUGAUUAGAGGUAGACGCAGAGAACUGAAACAUCUUAGUACCUGCAGGAAGAGAAAGAAAAUUCGAUUCCCUGAGUAGCGGCGAGCGAAACGGGAAGAGCCCAAACCAACAAGCUUGCUUGUUGGGGUUGUAGGACUCCAAUAUGGUAGUCUGUUAGUAUAGUUGAAGGAUUUGGAAAAUUCCGCUAAAGAGGGUGAAAGCCCCGUAGACGAAAUGCUAACAACACCUAGGAGGAUCCUGAGUACGGCGGAACACGAGAAAUUCCGUCGGAAUCCGCGGGGACCAUCCCGCAAGGCUAAAUACUCCCUAGUGACCGAUAGUGAACCAGUACCGUGAGGGAAAGGUGAAAAGCACCCCGGAAGGGGAGUGAAAUAGAUCCUGAAACCGUGUGCCUACAACAAGUCAAAGCUCGUUAAUGAGUGAUGGCGUGCCUUUUGUAGAAUGAACCGGCGAGUUACGAUUGCAUGCGAGGUUAAGUCGAAGAGACGGAGCCGCAGCGAAAGCGAGUCUGAAUAGGGCGAAUGAGUAUGUAGUCGUAGACCCGAAACCAUGUGAUCUACCCAUGUCCAGGUUGAAGGUGCGGUAAAACGCACUGGAGGACCGAACCCACGUACGUUGAAAAGUGCGGGGAUGAGGUGUGGGUAGCGGAGAAAUUCCAAACGAACUUGGAGAUAGCUGGUUCUCUCCGAAAUAGCUUUAGGGCUAGCCUCGGAAUUGAGAAUGAUGGAGGUAGAGCACUGUUUGGACUAGGGGCCCAUCUCGGGUUACCGAAUUCAGAUAAACUCCGAAUGCCAUUCAUUUAUAUCCGGGAGUCAGACUGCGAGUGAUAAGAUCCGUAGUCGAAAGGGAAACAGCCCAGACCACCAGCUAAGGUCCCAAAAUAUAUGUUAAGUGGAAAAGGAUGUGGGGUUGCACAGACAACUAGGAUGUUGGCUUAGAAGCAGCCACCAUUUAAAGAGUGCGUAAUAGCUCACUAGUCGAGUGACCCUGCGCCGAAAAUGUACCGGGGCUAAACAUAUUACCGAAGCUGUGGACUACACCAUUAGGUGUAGUGGUAGGAGAGCGUUCUAAGGGCGUUGAAGGUCGAUCGUGAGGACGGCUGGAGCGCUUAGAAGUGAGAAUGCCGGUAUGAGUAGCGAAAGACAGGUGAGAAUCCUGUCCACCGUAUGACUAAGGUUUCCUGGGGAAGGCUCGUCCGCCCAGGGUUAGUCGGGACCUAAGCCGAGGCCGAUAGGCGUAGGCGAUGGACAACAGGUUGAUAUUCCUGUACCAGUUGUUUUUGUUUGAGCAAUGGAGGGACGCAGUAGGCUAAGGAAUGCAUGCGAUUGGAAGUGCAUGUCCAAGCAAUGAGUCUUGAGUAGAGUUAAAUGCUUUACUCUCUAAGGACAAGUUGUGACGGGGAGCGAAAUAAUAGUAGCGAAGUUCCUGAUGUCACACUGCCAAGAAAAGCUUCUAGUGAGAAAACAACUGCCCGUACCGUAAACCGACACAGGUAGUCGAGGAGAGUAUCCUAAGGUGAGCGAGCGAACUCUCGUUAAGGAACUCGGCAAAAUGACCCCGUAACUUUGGGAGAAGGGGUGCUGACUUCGGUCAGCCGCAGUGAAUAGGCCCAAGCGACUGUUUAUCAAAAACACAGGUCUCUGCAAAAUCGUAAGAUGAAGUAUAGGGGCUGACGCCUGCCCGGUGCUGGAAGGUUAAGAGGAUGGGUUAGCUUCGGCGAAGCUCAGAAUUGAAGCCCCAGUAAACGGCGGCCGUAACUAUAACGGUCCUAAGGUAGCGAAAUUCCUUGUCGGGUAAGUUCCGACCCGCACGAAAGGCGUAACGAUUUGG
rnacentral:rRNA from 1 species